AAAUUAUGGUGUGGACAUUGUCUUAAUAGUGUAUCGAAAUGUUCCCAUACUUCAUGAAAUGAUGCCCUAGGCAUUUGGGAAAAAUGAAAAAUCUUCUCCCUUAUUUC